UACGGAGGGGGCAAGCGUUAUUCGGGAUUAUUGGGCGUAAAGGGCGCGUAGGCGGCUAGAUGUGUCAAAGGUGAAAUCCCUCGGCUCAACUGAGGAACUGCCUUUGAAACUGUCUGGCUUGAGGCCGGGAGAGGGUAGCGGAAUUCCCAGUGUAGCGGUGAAAUGCGUAGAUAUUGGGAGGAACACCAGUGGCGAAGGCGGCUACCUGGACCGGUUCUGACGCUGAGGCGCGAAAGCGUGGGUAGCAAACAGG
rnacentral:rRNA from 1 species